rnacentral:rRNA from 1 species
GACGAACGCUGGCGGCGUGCUUAACACAUGCAAGUCGAACGGAAAGGCCCUGCUUUUGUGGGGUGCUCGAGUGGCGAACGGGUGAGUAACACGUGAGUAACCUGCCCUUGACUUUGGGAUAACUUCAGGAAACUGGGGCUAAUACCGGAUAGGAGCUCCUGCUGCAUGGUGGGGGUUGGAAAGUUUCGGCGGUUGGGGAUGGACUCGCGGCUUAUCAGCUUGUUGGUGGGGUAGUGGCUUACCAAGGCUUUGACGGGUAGCCGGCCUGAGAGGGUGACCGGCCAGAUGGGGACUGAUAUGCGGCCCGGACUCAUACGGGAGGCAGCAGUGGGGAAGGUGGCAAGAUGGGCGGAAGCCUGAUGCAGCAACGCCGCGUGCGGGAUGACGGACUUCGGGUUGUAAACCGCUUUCGCCUGUGACGAAGCGUGCGUGACGGUAAUGGGUAAAGAAGCACGGGCUAACUACGUG